ensembl:snRNA U6 U6 spliceosomal RNA
GUGCUCGCUUCAGCAGCACAUAGACUAAAAUGGGAACGCUACAGAGAUUAGAAUGGCCCCUGUGUAAGGAUGACAGGCAAAGUCACAAGCUGCUCCGUAUUUUU